UACAGAGGUCCCGAGCGUUAGUCGGAAUCACUGGGCUUAAAGCGUGUGUAGGCGGAAUGGUAAGUACCUUGUGAAAUCCCACGGCUCAACCGUGGAACUGCUUGGUAUACUGCUUUUCUUGAGCCACUUAGGGGCUGUCGGAACAAACGGUGGAGCGGUGAAAUGCGUAGAUAUCGUUUGGAACGCCAAAGGUGAAAACAGACAGCUGGGAGUGUGCUGACGCUGGGACACGAAAGCCAGGGGAGCGAACGGG
rnacentral:rRNA from 1 species